rnacentral:SRP_RNA from 1 species
UGUUAGAAUUAGAAUACUAUUAAUAUUUAAACAUCUGGUCAGGUUUGGAAAAAAGCAGCCAAAUUAAAUACAAUAGGUAUUGGAAAAUCUAACAGGA